GAGAUACUAGUAAAAUUUUACAUAACUUUGUCAAAGUUAAAUUAUAGGUUGAAAUCCUUUGUGUCUCU
rnacentral:tRNA from 1 species